UGCGUGAAAUUUCUAGGAUCGCAAAUCAAAAUGCAAUAAAAUAUGAUAUGCAUGAUGAUCUAAUGUAUAACAUUCCAAUUGAAAAUUUGGGAUGUUACAUAUAACUCAAAUUCUAUAAUUAUGAACACAGAAAUAUUAAUGUAGAACUCUAUUUUGUUUUGAAAUUGUAUUAUUUUUUAGAAUUUAGUCUAGAGCAUUUCGUGAACUUGAAUCAAACCUUUAAAUAAAACAAAGCAUAAAAAUGACAAAUUCACAUAUGAAAUAACUUGUGUUACAUAGAUUUAUUACAAUAGCGUUGUAUGUGUGUAUGUGUGCGUGAGUGCCUAUGGUAAUAUCAAUAAAUAUCUUGAUAGAUGUUUCUACAAUUCACGGGUCUAACUAGUAAUGCAAUGCAAUGCAUGCUAAAAGAAUAGAACCUUAGUUUCAUUUAACUAACAAUUUUCAAAUGUAUGAGUUGCCAACAAGUGGCAUACUUGGCACUGUUUGUUUGUUCAUUUUAUGGAAAGUUCUUCUCUUUUUACAUGGUUUAGAUUCCAGCAUGUAGCCACAAAAUAUGAUUGUCAAAAGAUAAUACCUCAUAAUACAAUUCCACUAAAGUCACCUAGCCCAAGUGACCGACCUGAUCCUGAAAUAAAAUCAGAAGAUUUGGUGUCAUCAUCAUGACAACAAAUUAUUAGGCGGUAGAUCUUGUGGUAGUACUCAUGAUGUAAAAUUAUCAAGAGGGAGAGAAUGUAUGGAGAUUUAUGUGAAGUACAUCGUACACCAGACAUAGUUGACACAUCGAUUUUUUAAGAUACAUUUGGACGCGCCUUGUGGGAGUGUAAAGUACUACCAUGUAUUAGAAGAGGUGAAAUGAGAAAUGCCAUAGCUAGCAAGUAGGCCUAGUUAAGGAAAUUCUUCCUUAGACUCCCCUUCUCCCGAAGAGUGAAGUGCUUCAACUAAAGGUCCCUCGGAUCUGAGCCCUUUCUCCAAGCCCUUCAUUGGAUUCCCUGGAUGUCUUUUUGUUACAUUUUAUUGAAGUGAGAGUGAAUUAUUAUAUGCCCAUAGGAGGUGGGAUAUAAAGGCUGUUGGUAUUCUGCACCAUACAUGCUAGAGUAGGGAGGAGAGGGUGGUGCAUGAUACAUGGUGGACUAGCCCAUAUAUUUACCCCUCCCCCACCCACCUAACAAGUUUUUUUCUAUUAGGUCUUCAUCCUCUGAUUUGUUUUUCUGUUAGCCCAUUCUUCAUCAUGGACUUAUUAAUCAUGAUUAGUUUCUUGGAUUUUUGUUUACUUGACUUGAAUUUGACAAUGUGCCUCAUAUAUGGCAUGUGGGACUGAUAGGAAGAUAUAUUCUCACAACAUUAACUUAAAAAGGAUUAUUUUUUUGGUG